UAGGAUGGCUAAAAUGUAUUAUGGAUAUUCCACUGCCAGAUAGUCUGCUGAGCAUGUCACAUGCAUUAAUCCAUUUAAAGCCAUGUGUGUUAUAAUUUUUCCUUUCGAGGUGAAGAGAUUAAUAUCUAGUGAGGAGAUGGUGGUGUGACAGUGGCCACACAGCCACCGAAUGGGUGAGCUGGAACUCAAACCUAGAAUAAUGAGGUGGGCAAAAGCGUUUUUAUUUGUUUUUUGUUUGUUUGUUUGUUUGUUUGUUUGAGACGGAGUUUCGCUCUUGUCACCCAGGCUGGAGUGCAAUGGCGUGAUCUCGGCUCACCGCAACCUCCGCCCUCUGGGUUCAGGCAAUUCUCCUGCCUCAGCCUCCUGAGUAGCUGGGAUAACAGGCACGCGCCACCACGCCCAGCUAAUUUUUUGUAUUUUUAGUAGAGAGGGGGUUUCACCAUGUUGACCGGGAUGGUCUCGAUCUCUCGACCUCGUGAUCCACCCGUCUCGGCCUCCCAAAGUGCUGGGAUUACAGGCUUGAGCCACCGGGCCCGGCCAAAAGCGUUUUUAUUUUAAGAGCCGGCACUGCAAUUCUUCCCAGGGAGAGAAUGGUAGUAAGGGCGUUUUGCUAAAUGCUUGAUGCAGUAGGCUUGCAUCACAUCAGAAAAAUGUUUGGGCUUCUUGAUAACAUAGGGCAGGUUGGGUAGUUGAUGGUGCGUAAGGGAGAAGAGACAUUGAAUGAGCAACCAAGAAUCACUGCUCAGUGAGUGAAGGGCAUCCUCACACUAAAGCACUGUAGCCUAUUACACUUAAAACUCUGGUGUUUGCAUUUGUCGUGGGCAUCAAACAGCAAAUUUUAUGUUGGCAUAGAAAUGGCAGGACUAGAGAACAGUGCUUAGGAAGGUUAUGGGGAUGCAGCAAAAGGGAUUACCCUAAAGCCAUGAUAAUGUGAAAUGAGUUAUACCGUGACUUUAAUUGGACAAGCAAAGAAAAUGAAUCACAAGUACAUUUUCCCAAUACCACAAACCAGUCAGUGUUUCAGCCAGGAUUUUAACCCAUGCUGUUUGGGUCCAGUGUCUACAUGGCAGGCAGCUAUAAAAUCCAAAACGAUAGCUAAGAAGAAUUGAGUGCUUAUUCAGAACUAAAUAGUAUGUCACAUGUCAGGUUCCCGAGGUGGCUCUGAGUCAGAUAUUGUGGUUUGGGAGUUUUCUGGGGUGUGCUUUCAGGAUCUAUAUUUUUCUUGGAUGGAGGAAAACAGAAUUCGAUAGAAGGAGAAAUCAGAGUGUAGUGUAUUCAUAACCUAUGUCUGAGCUGGGCUAGAAUGGUACCAUUGCAUUGUCCCCUAGGGGAGUAAGGGACUAGGUUUUUUACACAGAUCAGGUGUUUCAUGUGGGUUACUCAAGGAAGGACACAUGAACUUGGGUGAGGUGACACAUUUUCAUAUAGGAAACUCACCAGGGGGAGAAAGGCUCUCAACUCCAGCUGUGAGUCCCAGUACUUAAACUGGCAAGGGAAGUAUGGGAGCCUCAGUGCUGGGGGAUGUGGUGGGCAUCUCAUAGCAUCCAUCUUAGUCCUCCCCUUGCUGUACUUAAAUGCAGUUGCUUCAUGUAAGUUUGGGGCUCAGAGUCUUCCAAAUUCUGGUGGCUUCUUUUCCUGAGGAAACAUAAGAAGAGGUUCAUAGGACAUACUGCAGUCCCCACCAUGAUUGCUGGUCAUGAGGCUAUAACACUACUUACUCAUCAUGCCCUUUUCCUACUGGCCAUUCUUGAUCUCCCUCAUCUUAAGCUGGC
ensembl:lncRNA